rnacentral:lncRNA from 1 species
GAAGCUUCAUGAGCUCUCUCCUGUGCACUGACAAGUGGCCGACUCUGGAGCCCAGGCUGUUGCUUCCCAGUCUGGUGAUGAAUCCUCCAUAGUCUGGCUGAAAUGUGGACCUGUGCCUUUGCCCUUACUGAAGCUGCCAACAUGUAAAUAAGUAGCUCUACUAGAAGAUCUCGGAAUAAUCUCAUAGAUAAGAGUGGGCUACCCAUCCCCAACUGCCUGCUUACCUAUGGUAACUAUUUGGAUGGGGUAAGGUUUUGAGUGUGGAUAACUAGAGAACAGUGAUACCACAGAGGAGGUACUAUAAAACUACAUACAAAGAAAACCAGUUCUAUAUAUGAGGUGAUAGCAGUGCAUCUAUUAGGAAAUAUCCAUCCAGCAGAAAUGCAAAAUUAAAGCUCUGGGGAGCUUCAGCUUUGAGAUAUAUAUAUAUGUGUGUGCAUAUAUAUAUGUAUGUAUGUAUGUAUGUAUAUAUGAAGCAUCUGAAAGAAAAGUUGAAACCCUGGGGAAAAGGAUAACAGAGAGGUAAAUGGAAAACAGGAAAACAGUGCUAUUGAAGGUCAAGGGAAGAGCUUUGACAAAAUAGGGUUCACUCAACAUGGGAGUAGAUGAGAGUAAAGGUAACUAUAAAAAGAGAUUAAACUUGGUUCCUAAGUUCAUGUUCUCUUUAUCUGUAUGUCCUCAUUUCUAGCUUUACUUAAAAUAUUUUUCCCUAAAAUCUGAUCUUUUUGAUUUCUCUGUGCUGCCAAGACACUCAUCACAUCCUGCCUUGAUUUACACAAACUCCUUCUCACUGGCCUCUUUCUCAUCAAUUUCCUACUCCAGUCUUUGCCAAAUGUUAUUGCCAAGUCCAUUUUCCUUUCCUGCUGUUCAGACUAUGCUUCUCCCACUCUGCUUUGGCUUCUCUUCACCUUCCAGCCUCCCCGUGACUCUGCACCUGCUUACAACUUUUCCUCAUCCUUCCUACAGCCCCAUCCCACACCCCACCUCCACUCCUUCCUCUGGCCCUUUCAUCUCUUCUGGCACCUUUAACCACCAAAUUCAGGCACUCAUAACUUCAGGCCAACACCCUACAUUAUCCUCCUCAGCGGAUCCUA